rnacentral:tRNA from 1 species
AUUAUAGAAAUAUAUAAAUUUAAGCUUCUAACUUAAUUAAUAGUGAAUAAAUUCAUUAAUAUU